AUAUUAAAAAGAAGAUGUGGUAUGUUUGCCAAUGAGACAACUAUCCACAAAAGACCAAAAUGACACAGACAUUAACAACUAUAGGUCACCAUACGGCCUUCAACAAUGAGCAAAGCCCAUACCGCAUAGUCAGCUAUAAAAGGCCCCGAUAAGACAAUGUAAAACAAUUCAAACGAGAAAACUAACGGCCUUAUUUAUGUAAAAAAAAGAACGAAAAACAAAUAUGUAACACAUAAACAAACGACAACCACUGAAUUACAGGCUCCUGACUUGGGAAAGGCACAUACAAAAAUAAUGUGGCUGGGUUGAACAU
rnacentral:lncRNA from 1 species